UAUCUGCCACAAUGACCAUGUAGAUCCCAGAAAACAAUCCUAUGGAGUCAGUUCUUCUUCUCCACCCUUAUUUGAAUUCAACUCAGGUCUCCAGGCUCACGUGGAUGGCAGAUGAGUCUAGACCAUGCAAAUGCCAGGAGAAGAGCCAAAAGGCAAAAUAUCUCUGUGCCAUCUCACACACCGAGAGCCCCCCAGAAGCCUCUGGGUUUCAUUUCCUCCAUCAGGAGCUCAGAUAACAGCAGCAGAGACAAACACACACGAGUUAAGAAUGCCAAUAAAGUUCUCAUUCCUUCUUCUGCUUUCUGUGGUGCUGGGGAUUGAACUCGGGACGUGUAAUAUCCCACACAGAUACUUUCCACUACUGAAUUACAUCUCCAGCCUUACAAUUUAAGGAAAAACACGGAGAAAAAUUAUAUCCUAUUGAAUAAAUCCUGGCUCUUCAAAACAAA
rnacentral:lncRNA from 1 species